rnacentral:rRNA from 1 species
CCUACGGGUGGCAGCAGUAGGGAAUUUUGCGCAAUGGGCGAAAGCCUGACGCAGCAACGCCGCGUGAUCGAGACGCCCUUCGGGGUGUAAAGAUCUGUCAGUGGGGACGAAACUUGACGGUACCCACAGAGGAAGCACCGGCUAACUCCGUGCCAGCAGCCGCGGUAAUACGUAGGGGGCAAGCGUUAUCCGGAUUUACUGGGUGUAAAGGGAGCGCAGACGGCAGUGCAAGUCUGGAGUGAAAGCCCGGGGCCCAACCCCGGAACUGCUCUGGAAACUGUGCGGCUAGAGUACUGGAGGGGCAGGCGGAAUUCCUAGUGUAGCGGUGAAAUGCGUAGAUAUUAGGAGGAACACCAGUGGCGAAGGCGGCCUGCUGGACAGUAACUGACGUUGAGGCUCGAAAGCGUGGGGAGCAAACAGGAUUAGAUACCCGAGUAGUC